UACGUAGGGUCCGAGCGUUGUCCGGAAUUAUUGGGCGUAAAGGGCUCGUAGGCGGUCUGUUGCGUCGGGAGUGAAAUCCCUGGGCUUAACCCAGGGCCUGCUUUCGAUACGGGCAGACUAGAGGCAUUCAGGGGAGAACGGAAUUCCUGGUGUAGCGGUGAAAUGCGCAGAUAUCAGGAGGAACACCGGUGGCGAAGGCGGUUCUCUGGGAAUGUUCUGACGCUGAGGAGCGAAAGUGUGGGGAGCGAACAGG
rnacentral:rRNA from 1 species